CUCCCCCCCCCCUUUUUUUUUUUUUAAAGGUUUAGAUUUUCUUGUUCCAAAGGCUGGCUACUUCUGUCAGAUCUGCUCUCUCUUCUACGCAGGUGAAAUGUCUAUGAAAAAUCAUUGCAAGACGCUGCGUCAUCAGCAGAAUAUGGAGAAAUUCAUGGCCAAGCAAAAGGAUGGGGAAGAUGAGGAGGAAGAUGAGGGGGAAGAACUUAGUUCCAGGUGAUCUCAGGAGGAGAGAAGAAUUCUUUAAAACAAUUUAAUUUAGGGUCCAGUAAAUUUUGUGUCUUUUGUUAUGGUUUAAUUUGUAAUUUUCUUUCAGAAACAAGCCCUGAUGUUGUGUAAAUUUGAGUUCAAGGUAGAGAAAGACAGAAGAAAAUGUAUGGUGGUUUUGAUUUCUAUAUCAAAUCGUCUGGCUUGGGAGAGAGCUCUUAAGUGUUGAAAUAAAUGUUCUUACUGUAUAGUUAACACCAUGUGAUUGUGUUUGGUGUAAUUUCAUGUUUAGCAGUUUACUACAUCACUGUAGAGGAUUUAUGGAAGCACUUCCAGAGAUCCACAUUUAGUGUUUCUUUGCAGAUCUUAGCUAUUGAAAUUUCAAUCUUCACGUUUCAUGUAGAGUUGGGUGAAUUGUCUUCCGAGAAC